AAGCCAGACAGGAUACCACAAAAUCCACCAAUGAGAAGUAGGUGGCAGUUUUCCAAAACCUAGGGAAAGCCAACUUGAUCAACAUGUUCAGGAUUGUCUCAUUUGUCCUCAAGUGUGCCACUCAAAUACCUUUGUAGAGAGGAUUUUCUGUCUGAUGACUAUUAAAUGGUCAGACUCAAGAAACCGAUGUAGCACAGAGCUGAUCAAAAAUGAACUUCAAAUAUCUGGGAACUGUGACUUGUCAUGUAAUGACUUCUCUCUGGCUAUGCAAGAGGAGAAAGGACUGCUUGAAUCAGUCAAGAGCAGCAAAAAAUAUGUAGACUUGUGUCCCUUCUCACACUAUGGACUAUUCAGAGAGAAGAGGACAGAUGAAAAGAAAGGGGGGAAAAAUCAAUACUCAUCCUGCAGCAUGUAUCCAAUAAAGCAGGGGAAAGAUUAAUGAGUUGGAGGGAGAUGGGAGGAGGAGGCUGCUCUCAGUCGCUGCUCCACUAUAACACACAGACAGGCAGGGGGUUUCAGCCAAUGGAGGCGAUAGGUGGAGGAGGGGGGAGCUUACGGUACCACCCACCACUCCCAAGCUGCCAGGAGAGAAGAAGCAUCAAGGACCGAGGCUGGAAGACUUCUUGUUUUCUCCUUUCUUUUCUUUGUAUAUCUUGUCCUCUCUUCCUCUCGCUCCCUAUCCCUAUUCCCCCCCCUCUCUCUCUCUUUCUCGUUGUCUGAAUCAGUGUUGCCAUGGAAUACUGGAGCGAUACACCUGUCCGGGCUGUUGCCACACCACUCCACUGCGAUGCAUGCAAGAGUGGUCCGGAGGUGUCAAAAGGCCAGGGAUCGUGACUUUUAAGGUGACCCGGAGCUCUCUGACAAUGAGGGACCCCCAUUCGCUAUGGUAACGAGUUCUGGUGGAUGAACCUUCUGGAUGGAUUGGGGUGAGGUCUGGGGUUGAGGGCAGCUUUUUUGGGGGGGGUUAGUGGUCUCCUGGAGGGGUCUUUCUAAGGACAGGGGGCACGCGCCAGCUGCCACCGGCGGGGAGACGCCUUUUUGCACACCAGCUGGAAGCAGGAUUUAACCCCCCCCCAUCUGCCCAUCUGACCCCUCCUUCAUGGUUUGAGGGGUGAGUGGAUUAGCUUCACUGCUGUUUGUUUACGGCACACUUCUAUUGUUAUGGCCGUUUACAUAUGUAUAUGUUUCAGGCCCGACCGAGGGACAGAGAACUGCCCAUAGUAGUCCUCCUCCAACUCAGCUGCCAGCCCGUCAUUGGCUUUUAAGUCAUGCUUGGCUUCAAAAGAGAGAGAGUAUCACCGCUGCCAAUACAAUCUCCAUGCUCGGUGUUACUGUGGAUUGUGGUUUGGGUAACCCUUUAAUAAGAUUCUGGGUUGUGUUCAUUGGAGCACACUGUUUUAAAAUGUUUCACGACGGAAAAUGAAAAUUACUGUUUCUUAUUGAAUUAGAUAGAUAAUACCUUCAUGUUUCACUCUGUUUUGGAGUGUGUUCCUACUGAACACGACCCAGGUAUGAGUCAUUUGACCCAGGUAUGAGUCAUUUCAUCCGAUCAGUGGCCACAUCUGGUGAGAUGAGGUCACAGUGGCCAGGUUCAUGUUCAUUAGGCACCAAGUGGAAAUAACUAAAACAGAGAGGGACUACCUGGACUAAACACAUUUUGUUUCAAAAUGUUUAAAACGUUUUAUAUUGUGUGUUUUAAUGAACAUGACCCAUGUGUGGGCGCUUUUGGGACAGAUUGGGAUUCAUUGAAUCGAAGGGAACGAUCUCCUGAGAAAGACAAGGGCAUUGUAAGUGUGUGUGUGUGUGUGUGUGUGUGUGUGUGUGUGUGUGUGUGUGUGUGUGUGUGUGUGUGUGUGUGUGUGUGUGUGUGUGUGUGUGUGUGUGUGUGUGUGUGUGUGUGUGUGUGUGUGUGACAUGGGGCUCCAUGGAUAGACUGGGU
rnacentral:lncRNA from 1 species